GAGACAUAGAAGAAGUAUUUAUAGAGAAAUAUGUUAGAAAUAGUGUAAAAAUGAGGAUUAUAGUGAUAGUUUUAUUCUGUGUUGUGAUUGUGAGAGCCGGUGCGCAGGAUUGCAAAGUUGGCGGGAAAAAGUGUAUCGACCACGAACAAUGCUGUGGAGGAUGCUGCUUCGACGGCGAGUGCAUUGAUACCUACAGAUCCUGUCUAUCAUCACUGGAUGUAUGUGACGACCACAUCUGCCUAGAUGAAGAAGAGUGUGUCGUGUACAUACCACCGGAGUGUCCUGGAUGUGAACCUUUGCCUGUGUGUAGACUGCCCUUAUAGUGUG